rnacentral:lncRNA from 1 species
GUGGCCACAAAAGGGCUCUAAACCCUAGCUGAUUUCACAUAGCUGUAUGACAGCAAAGAAACGGCCUUUGUGGACUCCUAGAACUGAAGCAGAAAAAGUGACAUCUGGUCUUAAUGUGGUUUGGCAUUUCCAACUCAGCACUACAAACCAGGAACUGUUUGUGGCUCUGGUGAAUUUUUGUGACCUCAUCGAGGACUUCUACCAGCUUUGCUGGUGAACUCUGCAAAAGGGCGGGUGACUCUCUGCUUUUGAAGUACAUGGCUGAGUGAUCCAAACAGCAACAUCAGGUAAGGAGAGGAAGCACUUUGGAGCCUCCACCCCCUCUGUGUUGCCUAAAUUGU